GACGAACGCUGGCGGCGUGCUUAACACAUGCAAGUCGAACGGAAAGGCCCUGCUUUUGUGGGGUGCUCGAGUGGCGAACGGGUGAGUAACACGUGAGUAACCUGCUCUUGACUUUGGGAUAACUUCAGGAAACUGGGGCUACUACCGGAUAGGAGCUCCUGCUGCAUGGUGGGGGUUGGAAAGUUUCGGCGGUUGGGGAUGGACUCGCGGCUUAUCAGCUUGUUGGUGGGGUAGUGGCUUACCAAGGCUUUGACGGGUAGCCGGCCUGAGAGGGUGACCGGCCACAUGGGGACUGAGAUACGGCCCAGACUCCUACGGGGGGCAGCAGUGGGGAAUAUUGCACAGUGGGCGGGAGCCUGAUGCAACAACGCCGCGUGCGGGAUGACGGCCUUCGGGUUGUAAACCGCUUUCGCCUGUGACGAAGCGUGAGUGACGGUAAUGGGUAAAGAAGCACCGGCUAACUACGUG
rnacentral:rRNA from 1 species